rnacentral:rRNA from 1 species
GAUGAACGCUGGCGGCGUGCCUAAUACAUGCAAGUCGAGCGAACAGACGAGGAGCUUGCUCCUCUGACGUUAGCGGCGGACGGGUGAGUAACACGUGGAUAACCUACCUAUAAGACUGGGAUAACUUCGGGAAACCGGAGCUAAUACCGGAUAAUAUAUUGAACCGCAUGGUUCAAUAGUGAAAGACGGUUUUGCUGUCACUUAUAGAUGGAUCCGCGCCGCAUUAGCUAGUUGGUAAGGUAACGGCUUACCAAGGCAACGAUGCGUAGCCGACCUGAGAGGGUGAUCGGCCACACUGGAACUGAGACACGGUCCAGACUCCUACGGGAGGCAGCAGUAGGGAAUCUUCCGCAAAGGGCGAAAGCCUGACGGAACAACGCCGCGUGAGUGAUGAAGGUCUUCGGAUCGUAAAACUCUGUUAUUAGGGAAGAACAAAUGUGUAAGUAUCUAUGCACGUCUUGACGGUACCUAAUCAGAAAGCCACGGCUAACUACGUG